UACGUAGGGUGCAAGCGUUGUCCGGAAUUAUUGGGCGUAAAGAGCGUGUAGGCGGCCCGACCAGUCCGCUGUGAAAGUCCAGGGCUCAACCCUGGAAUGCCGGUGGAUACUGUCGGGCUAGAGUCCGGAAUGGGCGAGUGGAAUUCCUGGUGUAGCGGUGAAAUGCGCAGAUAUCAGGAGGAACACCAAUGGCGAAGGCAGCUCGCUGGGACGCGACUGACGCUGAGACGCGAAAGCGUGGGGAGCAAACAGG
rnacentral:rRNA from 1 species